UGGGGAAUAUUGGACAAUGGGCGAAAGCCUGAUCCAGCAAUGCCGCGUGUGUGAAGAAGGCCUUCGGGUUGUAAAGCACUUUAGUGGGGGAAGAAAGCACGUAAGUGUUUGACGGUACCCCAAGAAUAAGCACCGGCUAACUCUGUGCCAGCAGCCGCGGUAAUACAGAGGGUGCGAGCGUUAAUCGGAAUGACUGGGCGUAAAGGGCGCGUAGGUGGAUAUGUGUGUUGGAUGUGAAAGCCCCGGGCUUAACCUGGGAAUUGCAUACAAAACUGCAUGUCUAGAGUGGAGCAGAGGUGAGUGGAAUUUCCGGAGUAGCGGUGAAAUGCGUAGAUACCGGAAGGAACACCAGUGGCGAAGGCGACUCACUGGGCUCAAACUGACACUGAGGCGCGAAAGCGUGGGGAGCAAACAGGAUUAGAUACCCCCGUAGUCC
rnacentral:rRNA from 1 species